GAUGAAGAACGCAGCGAAAUGCGAUAAGUAAUGUGAAUUGCAGAAUUCCGUGAAUCAUCGAAUCUUUGAACGCACAUUGCGCCCUCUGGUAUUCCGGGGGGCAUGCCUGUCCGAGCGUCAUUUGCAACCCUCAAGCCCGGCUUGUGUGAUGGGUGCCGUCCCCUACGGGACGCGCCCCGAAGGCAAUGGCGGCGUCGCGGUUAUCCGAUCAGCCAAAGUGUAUGGGGCUUUGUCACUCACUUUACGGCCCGGACCGGCGCCAGUCCGAAUCAAUCUUUUUUUCUAAAGUUGACCUCGGAUCAGGUAGGGAUACCCGCUGAACUUAAGCAUAUCAAUAAGCGGAGGA
rnacentral:misc_RNA from 1 species